GGGACCUAGCACCCCCUGCUGGUCACCCACAGGUAGAGCCACAGGAUGGGUCUGGCUCUAACCACCGGCCUCUCCUCACCAGAGUAGUAUCUACUCUGAUGACUAUCUUACCUCCCCUCCUCUUACCCCCAGGGACUGGGUUUCUCUUUUUUUUUUUUUUUUCAGGUUACUCGCAUCUGACAUGGCCUGGCCACUUCCUCAGAAGCUCGUAGCGGCUUUGCUGCUCCUGUGUCUGCUCUAGGUCAGUUUAAACAGCACUGGGGUGAUCCUUCCCUUAAAGGUUUGGUGGAGCCUAAGGGGCCAACCUCAACCUGCAGCUGGCAUCUGGAAAGAAGGCCUCAGUGACUCAGAUGAUUGAUCCAGCAGGACAGUUUCCCUGAAGCUGACCAUAAGUCUCAGAGAUGCAGACGCCUACGUCCUUGGUGUGGGACUCUCCCUCUGUGGGACUCUUCCUCCCUCCAUCCUGGAUCUUCUUGCUGGGCGAGCCUGUAAGAAUUUCACCUGGAAAGGUCACAGCGGAGCUGGUGGGCAGACAGGACCCAGGGAGAGAUGGGCUGGAUUUAGAAGGGGAGAAUUUCUUCAGGCCGGGGCUCUGUGACAGGGUGGCUGCGAGGUCAGGCUGGGCUCUGGUUACCCCUUGCCUCUCCUCCAUCUCUCCCAGAGCCCGCCAGAGAGGAGGAUCACAUGUCGGAGUGUAUGUGUCUGUUGUCUGUUUGGGCAGCUGGGUCACCCCCCGACCCAGCCUCAGCCGCAGCUCUCUGCUGUUCUGUCCGUGGGGGUCCAGGCGGCCGUGGUACUUCUGCCGACCCUGGUUGCCCUCUGCUGCAGCACCUUGUGUCCCGCGACCAGUAGCCGACCGGCAGGCUCCAGUCGUUUCUGUGUCUGCCAAGGACGCAUCUUCCCAACACUUCCCCGUGACAACCUCAGGUGGAAGCAAUUUCACCGUCUUGUAACUCACCGGGUCAUUAUAAUUAGUAUCCCGGCGCCCGGGGCGAGGGCGGAAGAAAGGAAAGAAAAGACUCGAUCCAGCCAGGCGAAGAGCAGCAGCCUCUGGGGGCUGGGGCGGCCUUUCCUCCUGCUCCAGCUCCUAACUCAGAUUUUCUCAGGACUCUGAUUCCAUCACGUCCCUCCCCUCUGUGUGUGCAAGGUGGGAGGUGGUCAAGGAGUCAGGCACUGCUCCGCUGUGCCCUGGGUGUACACAGCGGGAGUCUCUGACCUGAGUGAGGCUCCCCUGCCCCCUGAGAGCCCACAUCUGAGACUGGGGGCCACGGUGAGGGCCCUUUAGGGAGAGAUCAGUACCUCCCACAUCCCCCCGUGGACCCUCCCUGCCUCUGGGUCCCUGCAGCCCCAGAGCCAGAGCCCAUCAAGAGCUGGUGAUGGUGACCAUGGGCACAGCUGGGUUCCCCCCCAGGCACAGCUAGGAUAGGUAUGACUCUGAGAGAAGCAGCCAGGUGGGGAACAGGAUGUGUCAGGGAGCAAGAUUUCCCAUCAGGUUGGUCAAGGCUUUUUGGUUGCAAGCAACAGAAAUAGACUGACUCAAGAUAGGGAAUUUAGGGACUUCCCUGGUGGUCCAGUGAUUCAGAAUCCACCUUGCAAUGCAGGGGACAUGAAUUCGAUCCCUGGUCAGGGAACUAGGAUCCCACAUACGGCAAGACAGCUAAGCCCGUGUGCUAGAACUACUGAGUCCUCACCCUCCAGAGCCCACGAGCCGCGACUAGCGAGGCCAUGCAUCAAGAUGAAAGGUCCUGCUUGACACAACGAAGACCCAAGGCCGCCAAAUAAACACAUGCAUACAUAAAUAUUUUUUAAAAAGAGAGAGAGAAUUUACGGUCGGGUGUUGGGCCACCUCAAAGUUUAAGAGGUGACAGAGGAGAACCGGCAGCUUUGAGAGGUCAGGACCAAAGGAGCCCUAAGGAUCCUGGAAGUCAGGAGAGGUGGCUCUUCUCUCCAGGGAGCAGCUUAUGUGCUCAGUAGCUAGCUCCUGGAACUAAUGUGACUCAGUCCCACAGGUCCCAGCCUCUGUUUUCCAGUUAAGAAUUCCAAAUUCCUCACAGAGGCUCAUUCAUUCAUUCGUUGGUUGGUUCAUUUGUUCCAUAAAUAUUUAUUAAGCCCCUCCUGUGCAACAGGCAGGAUUCAGGAAGGUGCUGAAGGGACAGCAGUGAUCAAAUGAAACUUCCCUUACAUUGUGGGGGGCAGAAUCUGAUGGCUCAGUUUGGGUUGGGGGUCCAUCCUAAGCCAAUCAACUGUGGCCAGGCAGGUUUUCGUGAGCCAGGAGGCCACCCCAAAUGGAUCCUACUACAGUGGUCAAAUCGCCCUUUAA